UACGUAGGGGGCAAGCGUUGUCCGGAAUUAUUGGGCGUAAAGAGCUCGUAGGCGGUCUGUCGCGUCGGCUGUGAAAACUCGGGGCUCAACUCCGAGCUUGCAGUCGAUACGGGCAGGCUAGAGUUCGGCAGGGGAGACUGGAAUUCCUGGUGUAGCGGUGAAAUGCGCAGAUAUCAGGAGGAACACCGAUGGCGAAGGCAGGUCUCUGGGCAUUAACUGACGCUGAGGAGCGAAAGCAUGGGGAGCGAACGGG
rnacentral:rRNA from 1 species